rnacentral:rRNA from 1 species
UACGGGGGGGGCAAGCGUUGUUCGGAAUUACUGGGCGUAAAGGGCCAGUAGGCGGCCAACUAAGUCGGAUGUGAAAUCCCCAGGCUUAACUUGGGAACUGCAUCCGAUACUGGAUGGCUUGAAUUCGGGAGAGGGAUGCAGAAUUCCAGGUGUAGCGGUGAAAUGCGUAGAUAUCUGGAGGAAUACCGGUGGCGAAGGCGGCAUCCUGGACCGAGAUUGACGCUGAACGGCGAAAGCUAGGGGAGCAAACGGG